rnacentral:tRNA from 1 species
GAAUGUAGCUCAGUGGGAGAGUGCUUGCCUAGCAUGCACAUGGCCCUGGGUUCAACCCCCAGCACCA